CUCUAAAUUGCUUAUCACUUCAAGAAUGCUUUGCAAGUGCUGUAUUUUCCUGACCCUAUCUCAAAACUUGGAGGGUCUGUGACUCAUUUGAAAGUGCCAGGAUUUGAAAGGAAGCUCUCUGUUUGCAGGGGUGACGCAAUCAGACAGAGGCUGCUCAUGAAUGCUCUGAUCUCAGAUGGGAAUGUCUCUCUGGAUGCACAUUCACACCUCGUCUGUGGAAGGUUCAGCUGUGUCCCUCUGUAAUUCCAUUCCUCUGCAAGUCUCGUCUCCACUGUGCUGGGGAUGAGAAGAGCUGCACUGCAGUGAGUUUGUGCUAAAACUUUUGCCAGGAUGUAACUUAAUUGGCUGCCAGGUAGAGCUGGAGAGCACUAAAGACAUGGGGAGGACUUUAGCUUUGGAGGUAGAGCAGGAUGGAUGCCAGGAAUAAAACUCCAUGUCAAAAGGAGCUGUCCCAAGCCCUUCCUCUCGCUGCUCCAGAGUCGGUUUUGUCUUGGAGGAAACUCUCACGUACACGGUGAUUUUUGUGAGAGGCAGGGACCAGAAAGGCAGGCAGGAGUGAAAAUCAAUCAAGAUUUGUCAAAUACAUGGGAGAAUUCAUUUUUAUGAGAUAAGUGCCUUCAGAGGAAGCGUUGGUAGACACCUACCACAUGUUCAGCCUGCUUAGUGGCAAAGUGUGCACCAUUAAUCACUGUCACUCCAAGGGGCUGGCUUCCCACUGAACCAUCUCCCAGGUUUCUCCCUCUUUCAGCCAUCCUCUGCCCUCCCAGGAGGAUGAGUUGCACUCACAGACCUGUGAGCCUGCAAAUCAGGCUGAUGCUCUUGGCAGCUGCCAUACCAACCCCUCAUUUAUUUGGUGCUGAGCCGCCCACUGUGCUUCAGUUCCACUGAAUGGAUUCUCAUUUUAUUAAGGAUAAUCAGCGGCGUGGGCUGCUCCCUCUGAGCAGGUGAAGUCCAUGUGCUGCUGUCCUACUGCAGUGGGACCUUGCCCUCGGAAGCAUCCAGGAAGGGAUAAAGUGGGUGACGUGGCAAAUGCCUUCUGCUCAGAAAAAGCAGCAGCAGCCCGGAAAGAUGGUUUCAUGGUUUGACUGGUCAUGCUGAGCGUUGAGCACUCAGGAGCUCUGAGGGAAGACUGGCUUGAGAGCAGGAGCAGGCCAUGGGAAUUCCACAGCAGCACUGGAGAAGAGCCUUCCAGGACCUGAGCUGUCUGAGGAAGGGAAUAAGUGAUGUGCUUUCCAGGCAUCAUCUCUAGUCUCCUCCACCUGCCUCCUGCUCCCCAGUUUAUUAUUGUAGACCAUCAGAAGCUGCUCUGAGCCUUUGUGGUGGUGUCUUACACUCACCCAUCCUGAAGGUGAGAUGGGACUUCACCAGAGCAGGGUGAGGGGACAGCCCUGCCCUAAGGGAUAUUCACAAUGGACUUCUCUUUUUCCCCCGUGUCAACCCAUU